rnacentral:rRNA from 1 species
UAAUAAAUUAUUAAUCUUUAUAAUUUUACUAUCAAAUCCACCUUCAAUAAACAUUUCAAAUUUAUAUUCAUUUAAAUAUUUUUAUUGUAACCCAUUUCUACUUAAAUAUUAGCUACACCUUGAUCUGAUAUAUUUUCUUUUUAAAAAUUAUGAAAAUUAACAUUCUUAUAAAAUAUUCUAAUAACGACGGUAUAUAAACUGAUUACAAACUUAAGUAAGGUCCAUCGUGGAUUAUCGAUUACAGAACAGGUUCCUCUGAAUAGACUAAAAUACCGCCAAAUUUUUUAAGUUUCAAGAACAUAACUACUACUACCUUAGUUUUUAAAUUUACAUUUUAAAUAAUAGGGUAUCUAAUCCUAUUUUAUUAUUAAAAUUUUCAAGCUUCAAUUAUUUUAUAUAAAAAAUUCAUAAAUUWAAAAAUU